ensembl:snRNA U6 U6 spliceosomal RNA
GUGCUCACUUCAGCAGCACAUAUACUAAAAUUGGAGUGAUACAGAGAUUAGCAUGGCCCCUGCACAAGUAUGACACAUAACAAGGAGGAAAAUGAUCUCUAUAUUU